GCCACAGCUCAUUCCGGGACUGGCUGUUGCUCUGUUAUUUAUCUGCCUUAGAUUUGGAAGCAAGUUCAGCUUGGUCUUGUAUGCUCUAAGAAGCUGAGAGUUUCAUGCACAAGGGAAAGCUUUGCCAUCAUAGGAAAUGGAGAAUAACUUUGUUGCUCUGACAGCAUACCAGGAAAAUAAGAUCAGGAAAGUCCCUCACGUGCUGUCCCUGGAGAGCCCCCACAAAAACCAGGAGCCUAUUUCACUGUCAGUGGCUGCUCUGUGCCCUACUGUCAUUUUUUUUUUCCGUUUGGAGUCUGGUUCUGCCAUCUUUCAUGAUAUCAAACAGUAAAACCACAAAGAGUAUGGCCUGACAGCUGCAGUAAGGGCACUGCAAGGAGGAGUUUAACUUACAGCUGUGGGGUCAAACCUGCUGCUGGAGAGAUACUUCAGGACCUAAAAGGUGAGUGGUGCCUAAAACCACCCUGGCAGAACGAUGGCACAGUUCACAAAACUACCAAAAAUCCGUGUCCUUCUUUGAAAGUAGUUCCUGCUGGAGCAGGUCUGCAGAUGCUGCACAGUAGCAGAGAAAGCCUUGUUUCAAGUUAUGUAAAUGUUUGUCCUUGCAUUCUCUUCAGACACUACAUAGCAUAGCAGCAAAAGAUGAGGGAGAACUUGCAUUUUCCUACUCCUGGCCAAGAAAGCUGAAAAAACCCUGUGGGUUUAACAUAACAAUGCUGAUCUAUUUUAAGGAGCUGUGUGUGUGUAACCUCAGCGCGAGAUUAAUUCCCGUUAUUAUCUUCUCCGCGUCAGGAGAAGCCUCUGUUUGCUUCCAAGGUUUCAAAACCACGGCUGGGACGAAACCGAACGUACCGUCCUGACCUCCAGCCAUCUGUUGGCAGCCGACAGAAAUAAGUAGGCAAUGUUGUUGGUGUCUGUCAGCUCCAGCAUGCGCUGUUUGAACCUGGCUUCGUGCCUGCCGAGAGCAAAGUUGGUACAUUUACAACACGUCACACGCUCACACACAGAAGGGUGAAGCAUUAACUCUCCUCUAAGGGUGAAGCAUUAACUCUCCUCUGACUUCCCUCCCUCCCUCCCCCUCCCAGUCAAAACGUUUUGCCCUUCUGAUUUUGGGUUAAAAACUCUUCCCUGCUGCCACAACUCUCCACAGCCAGAGCUACCCCUGUGAUGGGGAGGGUUUGUUUUGGAGUAGAUUUUGGAUCAGAGCCUGUCCCCUGAAAGAGACUCCAGUGCUGGGGUGCUGGGCUUUUGGUUAUCAAAGUUGAUCCAUUUUUUAUAGCUGUGGCCACCCUUCAGUCCUCUAACAAGUGAGUGCUGCUGUGGCCCCUUGCUUCUUCCUCACAAGCCACCACUGAGACCUGCCAUCUGAAAAGCUGAUUUCAGAUGUCUCUGUAGAAAUUUUAUUGCAUAGCAGACAAGAAUGGACAUUUCAUGUAUUGCACAUAUUCUUUUCAGUAUUUCUAUAGUAUAGAAAGACACUGGCAUGGGAAUAUCAUGUUCCUCUCUUGCCACAGGAGCCUUGGAAUCAUUUCCCAGUCACCUCUUCCAUCUACUUUUGGUCACAGAUGAGCUUCUCUUUGUCCCCCAGUGAUAAUGACUUUACCAUGUCUCUCCUGGGUAAAAACCUGCUGUCCAUUUUAGCCAGAUCCUAAUUACCUGUUAUUCUCACACAUUCUAAUUUAUUAAUAUAAUGAAUUUAAAUUCAUUGUAUUAAUCACAGCUGAUUUUAAAUUUUGUAGCAUGUUAUUGGUGACUCUUAGGUCAGGUAUAAAACAAGGUUUGUGUGUCUGCUACUUUAUUGCAACUGUACCA